rnacentral:rRNA from 1 species
CAUGCAAGUCGAGCGGCAGCGGGAAAGUAGCUUGCUACUUUUGCCGGCGAGCGGCGGACGGGUGAGUAAUGCCUGGGAAAUUGCCCAGUCGAGGGGGAUAACAAUUGGAAACGACUGCUAAUACCGCAUACGCCCUACGGGGGAAAGCAGGGGACCUUCGGGCCUUGCGCGAUUGGAUAUGCCCAGGUGGGAUUAGCUAGUUGGUGAGGUAAUGGCUCACCAAGGCGACGAUCCCUAGCUGGUCUGAGAGGAUGAUCAGCCACACUGGAACUGAGACACGGUCCAGACUCCUACGGGAGGCAGCAGUGGGGAAUAUUGCACAAUGGGGGAAACCCUGGUGCAGCCAUGCCGCGUGUGUGAAGAAGGCCUUCGGGUUGUAAAGCACUUUCAGCCAGGAGGAAAGGUUGGCGCCUAAUACGUGUCAACUGUGACGUUACU